rnacentral:rRNA from 1 species
CCCUGCCAUUUGUACACACCGCCCGUCGCACCUACCGAUUGAAUGGUCCGGUGAAGCCUCCGGAUUGGCGGCUACUCUCGAGUACCGCCGAGAAGUUGGCUAAACCUUACCAUUUAGAGGAAGGUGAA